CAAUCCCUACAUAAAGCAGAAGAGAACAGAGCAAACACAUUGAGAAUCAACAACCAGAGUAUCUGUCAGAGAGCAUUGUGCUGGACUGGAGAAAAAAUGGCCUCUCAUCUCCACCUGUUGUUGGGAUUGGCUCUUCUAGGUGUACAGUACUCGUUUGGACAGGAAUGCCCCAAUCCUGAAAGGGCCACUGACUGUGAGACUUGCAUCUCAUUGGGCCCUGACUGUGCCUGGUGCAAAUACAAG